rnacentral:rRNA from 1 species
CCUACGGGGGGCUGCAGUGGGGAAUUUUGGACAAUGGGGGCAACCCUGAUCCAGCCAUGCCGCGUGCGGGAAGAAGGCCUUCGGGUUGUAAACCGCUUUCGGCCGGAACGAAAUCGCCGGGGAGAACAUCCCCGGUGGAUGACGGUACCGGAAGAAGAAGCACCGGCUAACUACGUGCCAGCAGCCGCGGUAAUACGUAGGGAGCGAGCGUUAGUCGGAAUUGCGCGGCGUAAACGCUACGACGGAUGUUAAAUCCCCGGGCUUAACCUGGGAACUGCGUUUGUGACUGGCGGGCUGGAGUGCGGAAGAGGGAGGUGGAAUUCCACGUGUAGCAGUGAAAUGCGUAGAGAUGUGGAGGAACACCGAUGGCGAAGGCAGCCUCCUGGUCUAGCACUGACGCUCAUGCACGAAAGCGUGGGGAGCAAACAGGAUUAGAUACCCCAGUAGUC